UUUAAUGUGGCAGAAAUAGUGCAAAGGACUUAAAAUCCUUUUAUAAAGAUUUUAAAUAUCUUUUAUUAAAA
rnacentral:tRNA from 2 species